UGCCUCUCAGGAUCGCAUCUGGAGAGUUUCCAGUACUUUACCAGUGUUGGCUACGGGAGGAAGAGUCAAGCAGAGGCCGACCCAUUCCGUUCCUAGCUUGGUCUGUGGCUAGUAAGUGGCAAGCAAUCUGCGACAAGU